rnacentral:rRNA from 1 species
UACGUAGGGUGCAAGCGUUAAUCGGAAUUACUGGGCGUAAAGCGUGCGCAGGCGGUUCGCUAAGACAGAUGUGAAAUCCCCGGGCUCAACCUGGGAACUGCAUUUGUGACUGCAUGGCUAGAGUACGGUAGAGGGGGAUGGAAUUCCGCGUGUAGCAGUGAAAUGCGUAGAUAUGCGGAGGAACACCGAUGGCGAAGGCAAUCCCCUGGACCUGUACUGACGCUCAUGCACGAAAGCGUGGGGAGCAAACAGG